rnacentral:misc_RNA from 1 species
UACGUAGGUGGCAAGCGUUGUCCGGAAUUAUUGGGCGUAAAGCGCGCGCAGGCGGCCUCUUAAGUCUGAUGUGAAAGUCUCCGGCUCAACCGGGGAGGGCCAUUGGAAACUGGGAGGCUUGAGUAUAGGUGAGAAGAGUGGAAUUUCACGUGUAGCGGUGAAAUGCGUAGAGAUGUGAAGGAACACCAGUGGCGAAGGCGGCUCUUUGACCAAUAACUGACGCUGAGGCGCGAAAGCGUGGGGAGCAAACAGG